CGCGGAGGGGGGGGCUCACCCAGACUGGGCCACGCGCUGGGGCCCCGAUAGACCUGUGAUGACCCGGGCGAGCAGGCGGGGGGCCCACUCACUCACUUACCCACAGCCCGAGAACGCACGUAACCCACAGGGAGGGAGAGGUGACACGCUAGGAGACCGGGCAAAACGAACCUGACCAUCACCUCUGAAGCCUACAGGCACUGGUUAGCUCAGCCCCCACGCCAUGUACCCCACCUACUGACUCAACCUGAUACCAGCACAACGAGGAGCACCUGAGGAGAUUUAGAGACG